rnacentral:tRNA from 1 species
GGAGGACUAGCUCAGUUGGUUAGAGCACCUGCCUUACAAGCAGGGGGUCAUAGGUUCGAGUCCUAUGUUCUCCACCA